CGUAGGUGGCAAGCGUUGUCCGGAUUUAGUUGGGUUUAAAGGGUGCGUAGGCGGUCUUGUAAGUCAGUGGUGAAAUACGGCAGCUUAACUGUCGAGGUGCCAUUGAUACUGCAGGACUUGAGUACAGACGAGGUAGGCGGAAUUGACGGUGUAGCGGUGAAAUGCUUAGAUAUCGUCAAGAACACCGAUAGCGAAGGCAGCUUACUAGACUGUAACUGACGCUGAUGCACGAAAGUGUGGGGAUCAAACAGGAUUAGAUACCCUGGUAGUCCACACUGUAAACGAUGAUUACUCGAUGUUGGCGAUACACAGCCAGCGUCUUAGCGAAAGCGAUAAGUAAUCCACCUGGGGAGUACGCCGGCAACGGUG
rnacentral:rRNA from 1 species